rnacentral:rRNA from 1 species
CCUACGGGGGGCUGCAGUGGGGAAUAUUGCACAAUGGGCGCAAGCCUGAUGCAGCGACGCCGCGUGAGCGAUGAAGGCCUUCGGGUCGUAAAGCUCUGUCCUAAGGGCAGAAUAAUGACGGUACCUUAGGAGGAAGCCCCGGCUAACUACGUGCCAGCAGCCGCGGUAAUACGUAGGGGGCGUGCGUUAUCCGGGAUAACUGGGCGUAAAGGGUGCGUAGGCGGCCCUGCGAGUCAGGAGUUAAGUCUCUCGGCUCAACCGUGGUAAGUGCUGGAAACUGUAGGGCUUGAGUGCAGGAGAGGGGAGCGGAAUUCCUAGUGUAGCGGGGAAAUGCGUAGAUAUUAGGAGGAAAACCAGUGGCGAAGGCGGAUAUGUGGACUGGAACUGACGGGGAGGUACGUAAGCGUGGGGUGCGAACAGGAUUAGAUAACCCAGUAGUC